GGGUGAUUAGCUCAGUUGGUAGAGUACCUCCCUUACAAGGAGGGGGCCGCCGGUUCAAAUCCGUCAUCACCCA
rnacentral:tRNA from 1 species